CUGGUUUUGCUUUCAAACCAGAACAUAUUUUUGGCCACCCAACGUGGGGCAAGAAAGCACUGAGAGAAGUCAGAAUUACAAUCUUGUAUUGUAGAGGGUAUCUAUUCACUAUGAUGCUCAACAUGCUUUUUUGGGCCUCAUACCUAGCUCUCUAUAUUUUCCCGAAUGUGGGGAAUUAUGUGGCAAUUGUAAUGCUCAUGUGUAGACCAGGGUAUGGUAUGAGAAUUGCCUUAUUGGUCUACUAUGUCUAUCGCAUUAUGACCUCUGAGGCAAUGAACAUGAUUUGGAAUAUGUACUCAAUUCUGUUUGCUUGUCCUAAUCUAGGCUGCUACAUCUGGGGCCUCGGCAACCUCACCCAGCCCCUGGGGGGAGGGGUAAAGAUUGAUUUUUUCCAACCUUUCAGGCUUGACACAGCAGUUUUUGAAAAUGUUAAAUUCCCUCUGGAUGCCAAGGACAGCAUAAUGUUGUUGUUAGUUCUUCUUUGUCUCCUCUGCACAGUCUGCAACAUGCUUAGAAACAAAACACUACAUAGUGUGAUGCAGCAAAACAUACAUAGUGUGGUGCAGCGUCUUCUUGAGGAAGAGGAAACAAGAAGCAAAGCAGCAGUGUCCGUGCCUGUACAGAAUACCACAACAGCAGCCAUGUCAACGCAGACUGCCACAGAGAAAGAAGGAACCAAAAGGAAAACAACAGUGUCCGUGUCUACGCAGACUGUCAUGGAGGAAGAAACAAAAAGCAAAGCAAAGGUGUCUAUGUCUACACAGACCGGCACAGAGGAGGAAGGAAUCGAAAGUGCCAUCAGCAUCUCCACACAAACCAUCACCAAACCAGAGCAGCCUGAACCCAUAGGGGUUGCCCCUGUUCAGAAGAAGAAAUCGAGGAGCAAAUCAGUCCGCAUAGUGACUGACGAGGACACUGCAGGACCCUCGCACCCAGUGGAAGAGACAGAACCAGAGAUCAUCACUCGCUCUCUAUCCCUGGGUGAGCUACGUGACCUGCGGAGAGAAUUCACCCGCCAGACAAAUGAGUCCAUCCUCACCUGGCUUCUCCGCAUCUGGGACGCUGCAGCCAAUGACACCAUUCUGGAUGGAAGUGAGGCCAGGCAACUGGGAUCACUAUCCCGGGAUGUGGUCAUUGACCAGGGGAUUGGGAGAACCCAAGAAACUCUCAGCCUCUGGCGGCGACUGCUUGCAAGUGUGAAGGACAGAUACCUUUGUAAAGAAGACCUCCAGGUACUCCAAGGAAAAUGGAAUACCAUGGAACAAGGUAUCCGAUGCCUAAGGGAAUUGGCUGUGUUGGAGAUAAUUUUUGCAGAAGACGAAAGAUUUCCUAAGAGUCCAGACUGUGUCCAGUGCACAUCACAAAUGUGGUUGAGAUUUGCACGGCUUGGACCAGAGAUGUACGCUCGUUACCUGGCAACACUGCAGUGGAGAGAAGGCGAGGACAGGGUGGGCGUCCUAGCCAAUAAGUUAAGAAUUUACGAGGACA
rnacentral:lncRNA from 1 species